ACAGUCUGUGCUUGCGGCCGGCGUCUGAAUGAGUGGCAUUCCGGUGCGACUGUGCCCUCAACCUUUGGGAUCCGACGCAAUCUCCAGGCAGAUGGUCGGAAUUGACUGCGAUUAGAGAACUCCCUCCUGGCCGGCUGGAGGAGCCACGCCAGAACUCGUCGCCAGUGGAGAGAAGUCCCCACACACUUGUUGGUGACCAGAUGCGACGUGCUCUGUGAUGAUCAGAAUGACAGUGACCAGAGAGAUUUUGGAAGCCAAAUAUUGAAAAAGCUGCCAUCACCCCAAGUCCCUGAAUGCCUGUGUGCAGAAGAGUUGCCGUUCAACGUGGGACAUUCCCUCCGAAUUGUCAUGUGGGAGAGUAAUAAACUGUUUAUUUUGACAAUACCCUAGGAAGACCAAGAAGAUAGAAAGAUCCUGGAUCCUUGAAUGAUCUGAUGGAGCAGAGAUACCUCAUCAGCCUCGAACUGCUCACCUUAGGAAUGUCUGGUUUCUUCUCAGGGACUGGAAGUUGUGUGAAACGAUAUUGUUCACCCAGGUGGUUGAAGGAAGCAUUUUGAAGACCGUGGCCUCCUCACAGGUCCAAUCCCCUUUGGGGUUGAUUCUGCCUCUGCCUGAGAAGUCCUGUGUCCAAAGAGGAACCUCCUCGGGGAUUCUGCUCAUCUGGAAAUCCAGUCGCUAACAGUUUAGAAAACAAUUCGUGUCUGAGAAUCCAAGUCCGCAUUCCCAUCUCCAAUCCCUGAUUGUUUCCAGGGAAAAGUCUUAUUUUGAACAUUUUCAAAAGUCGCAGAAAGUGGAUAAAUGAUGUAUGGGUGAGGACUCAGUUGAAGAAAAUAGAAUUUACUGUGAAAAAUAAAAUCUACCUAGCUUAAACAGAACUUGGUUCGCAGAAGUUAAACCCACGC